rnacentral:rRNA from 1 species
ACAGAGGGGGCAAGCGUUAUUCGGAAUUAUUCAGCGUAAAGGGCGCGAAGGCGGUUUCUUAAGUGAGAUGGGUAAUACCCGGGCUUAACCUGGGAACUGCAUCUCAUACUGGGAGGCUAGAGUACUGGAGAGGGUGGUAGAAUUCCACGUGUAGUGGUGAAAUGCGUAGAGAUGUGGAGGAAUACCAGUGGCGAAGGCGGCCACCUGGACAGUAACCGACGCUGAGGCGCGAAAGUGUGGGGAGCAAACAG